UGAUUAUUGACUUCAGGUGGUGGAAAUUGGAGGUCCGUGAGCUACGCCUCAUCAGGGAAUCAGAGAUGGAGAGGAGCAACUUCAAAUUUCUCAGUAUCAUAAUUUCAGAGGAUGUGUCCUAGAUCCAGCAUAUAACCAGCGUUUACCAAAUUAGACUCUUUGGAUGCCAACAGAUAACAUCUUUCUUAUAAUUUGCAGGGCCAUCCAGCUCUAAUCAGGUGACUGGCAGACUCUGAACUGCUCGAACUGACUGUUUUCCCCCACUUGAUUUCAAACAGCAACAGAACCAAGGCUUCAAGUGAUUUUCCAAGUUUAGUGUGCCUACCAUAAUUUACAGUA